AUGAGCAAAGAUCUCCGCGCACGCCGCGCUGAACAGUCACGUGAUCGGAAUUCCCUAUUGUCAGUGAUCCCGGAAGUUCCCGAGUCGCCGGUUUCCGCCGGAAAAGGUACCGUCAGGUCCAGACGGGUCUGUCUUCUUUCUGUCUCUUUCGGUAUCGUUCAACUGAUCCGGUACAGAACCGGACCGGAACCGACACUGUACGAUAAACUCCUGUCCGGUUUUGUCUGUAGGUGCUGCCUCUCGAUGCAGAUGCUCCGGGUGAAAUGAAUAAGGCACCUCAGCCUCUGUCAGGACCCCCCUCCGCCCCGCUUCCCGCGCCCUCCCCGGGUCUGUCCCAGGUAACUGUACAGUCACUGUGAUCCGGGAUGCACCGAUAUAUCAGCCGAUAAUCGGUAUUAAAAACUAGGGCUGCACGAUUAAUCAAACGAGAUAGUCAUGCAGAUCUUGUCAGUAAAGCCAGUUCUGUGAUCAAGUAACUCUCCAUCACAUGCUUUAGCAGCAUUUACUACACAGAGCCGUAGUUAUAGUUCAGUUUUUAUAAAAUUGAAGAAUGUGUUCCCGAUACUGAAAGCUUUAUGCGUUUAAAUCUCGUUUAGUUUAGCUAGCAUUAAGAUUUACUUUGUUUGAACUUAUAAACUAUUGCCCACGCAUACUUCAAGCCAGAGAUAUCAGAUGUUUUUUUUUCCUUCACUAAACAUUUGUAAUGUGCCUCAAAUCCUCAAAGUUUUAAAUCCUGUAUAUUUGAAAAACAAUAAAUGUUGCAUUUAAAUGUGCUCUCUUUCACUUUAAUACAAGUUAUAACACAAAAUAAAUAUGAAUGAACAUCAGUAGUUAUGUUGAAAAAUAAAGUACAACUUACCGAUAUCUAACGUGUCUAAUAUAAUCGCUUCAACAAAGUUCAUUAGUUAGUUAUGAAAACACUAGAGGGAGCUUAAUUGCUGUUAAUUAUAGAAGUAUGUUUGAAUAAAUCUGUCGUGAAGUUCAGUUUUUAUGAAAACUACCUAAAGUGCAAUUGAGUUGUAUACAGACGUUUUUAUUUGAGUGUGAUUAUAAUAUCUGAAAAUAAAAAGCAGUGAAUGUUAUAGUGUUGUUGUUCAUUGCAUACCAAUGUUUAGUUUACAGCAUUAGUUGGGAGAUAUUUUUUUCCUUUAAUAUCGGCAAAUAUCGUUUUGAAUUAUCGGUUAUCGGUUUGAGAAAUUCAGUAUCGGUGCGUCUUUACUCUCAAUCUCUCUGGAUUACUCUUAUGAUUGAAUGGUGCACGUGUGUCUGUCUUUAGCCCAGUUUUCCUCCUGCUCCGGUUGUGUUCGGCACCCCUCCACCACAGAUGAACCCCGCCGCCCAACCCCGACAGGUACGCAUCACUUCCUGUGGGCCUGCUGGGUCAUUGCCCCAUUCGUUUUCCCCAUUGGCAUUUCAAGAUUCAAGAAAGAACCAAACCAGUCAGAAUGUGUUACAUUCAAUAUACAUUUUAAAGGUAUUUAGAUAUUAAAGACUUAAGCAUCAGAAAAACACCAUAAAGCAGAGAUUCCCAAAAUCUGUGAGCUUAAAUAUUUACUUGUAGUCUCACCGAGAUUCUAAUUUAUUUCAAUAAUUAAGCACAUUGAUAUGGUCACAGUUCUCAGAAUCAGUGGUUACAUGACAUGGAGGUAAACAAAUACACUUUCACCUUUUUAGUAAGUGUUUUAUUUUCAUGUUUUUAAUUUUUUUAAAUGCUAUGGUUGUUGGGAAAACCUGCCGUAAAAACACUUUCAAAGAUAGAAUCAAAUUUAAUACAAAAUUAGUACAUUCUGAUUUUUUUCCAAGAAAAAGAAGUUUAAUAAUUCAUAUUAAAAAUAAAUAAAUGUGAAAAUUAAAAAAAAUUAAAUAUAAUAAAAGUAUUGUUUAAUUUCUAUUAAAGUAUUUGUUAUUAAUUAAUAACCUGUUUAUUUUACAUUUAAAAUUUGUUUUAGUAAUUUAGUAAGCG
rnacentral:lncRNA from 1 species